AAAAGUGCCGUUCUUUUUAGGCCAAAGUUGAUCGUUGCGGGUGCAAGUGCAUAUGCGCGUCUUUAUGACUAUGACCGCAUGCGGAAGGUUUGUGACAAGCAGAAGGCAAUACUUCUAGCAGAUAUGGCACAUAUCAGUGGGCUUGUCGCAGCUGGUGUUGUUCCAUCUCCUUUUGAUUAUGCAGAUGUAGUGACUACCACUACUCACAAGUCACUCCGUGGACCACGUGGAGCCAUGAUCUUUUACAGGAAGGGGGUGAAAGGAGUAAACAAGCAAGGCAAAGAGGUUAUGUAUGACUUUGAGGACAAGAUCAAUGCUGCUGUCUUCCCAGGUCUGCAAGGUGGACCACAUAAUCAUACCAUUACUGGCUUAGCUGUUGCGCUUAAGCAGGCAACUACUCCGGAGUACAGAGCUUAUCAAGAGCAAGUUAUGAGUAACUGUGCAAAAUUUGCACAGAGCUUGACAGCAAAAGGCUACGAACUUGUCUCUGGUGGGACUGACAACCAUUUAGUGUUGGUAAAUCUCAAGAGCAAGGGCAUAGAUGGUUCAAGAGUGGAGAAGGUUUUAGAAAACGUGCACAUUGCAGCAAACAAGAACACAGUUCCUGGUGAUGUUUCAGCUAUGGUACCAGGAGGCAUCAGGAUGGGAACCCCAGCACUGACCUCAAGAGGAUUUGUUGAGGAGGACUUUGCUAAGGUUGCUGAUUUCUUCGAUGCAGCAGUGAACUUGGCUUUGAAGGUUAAGGCUGCAGCAGGUGGAACAAAACUGAAGGACUUUGUUGCCACUUUGCAAUCUGAUAGCAACAUUCAAUCCGAGAUUGCAAAACUUCGCCAUGAUGUGGAGGAAUAUGCAAAACAGUUCCCCACAAUUGGGUUUGAGAAAGAAACCAU
rnacentral:misc_RNA from 1 species